UUGAUCCUGGCUCAGGACGAACGCUGGCGGCGUGCCUAACACAUGCAAGUCGAGCGGGGACAUAGUGAAGUUUUUAACUAAGCUGUGUUCUAGCGGCGGACGGGUGAGUAACGCGUGAGCAAUCUGUCCCAGACAGGGGGAUAACAGGUGGAAACAUCUGCUAAUACCGCGUAAGACCACGAGGUCACAUGAUCUUGAGGUAAAAGGAGCAAUCCGGUCUGGGGUGAGCUCGCGUCCGAUUAGCUAGUUGGUGGGGUAACAGCUCACCAAGGCGACGAUCGGUAGCCGACCUGAGAGGGUGAUCGGCCACAUUGGAACUGAGAGACGGUCCAAACUCCUACGGGAGGCAGCAGUGGGGAAUAUUGGGCAAUGGGCGAAAGCCUGACCCAGCAACGCCGCGUGAGGGAAGAAGGCUUUCGGGUUGUAAACCUCUGUCCUUGGUGACGAAAAAAAUGACCGGUAGCCAAGGAGGAAGCCCCGGGCUAACUACGUGGCCAGCAGCCGCGGUAAUACGUAGGGGGCAAGCGUUGUCCGGGAAUGACUGGGCGUAAGGGGCGUGUAGGCGGCCGAUUAAGUCUGGAGUGAAAGUCCCGCUUUCAAGGUGGGAAUUGCUUUGGAAACUGGUUGGCUUGAGUGCGGAAGAGGUAAGUGGAAUUCCCCAGUGUAGCGGUGAAAUGCGUAGAGAUUGGGAGGAACACCAGUGGCGAAGGCGACUUACUGGGCCGUAACUGACGCUGAGGCGCGAAAGCGUGGGGAGCGAACAGGAUUAGAUACCCUGGUAGUCCACGCCGUAAACGAUGAAUGCUAGGUGUAGCGGGUAUCGACCCCUGCUGUGCCGCAGUAAACACAAUAAGCAUUCCGCCUGGGGAGUACGGCCGCAAGGUUGAAACUCAAAGGAAUUGACGGGGGCCCGCACAAGCAGCGGAGCAUGUCGUUUAAUUCGAGGCAACGCGAAGAACCUUACCAGGUCUUGACAUCCAACUAAAACCGUAGAAGAUACGGUGUCCCUUCCGGGGGAGUUGAACAGGUGGGUGCAUGGUUGUCGUCAGCUCGUGUCGUGAGAAUGUUUGGGUUAAGUUCCCGCACCGAGGCGCAACCCCUUAUGAAUCAGGUUACUUAACCGGGUAAUGCCGAGGACUCUGAUGAGACUGCCGGGGACAACUCGGAGGAAGGUGGGGACGACGUCAAAUCAUCAUGCCCCUUAUGACCUGGGCUACAGACGUGCUACAAUGGCGGCUACAAAGAGGUGCAAGACCGUGAGGUUGAGCGGAUCUCAAAAAGGCCGUCCCAGUUCGGACUGUGGGCUGCAACCCGCCCACACGAAGUUGGAGUUGCUAGUAAUCGCGGAUCAGAAUGCCGCGGUGAAUACGUUCCCGGGCCUUGUACACACCGCC
rnacentral:rRNA from 2 species